rnacentral:rRNA from 1 species
AUGGAGCGCCGCCGGAGCUGCAAUGGAGCGCUGCCGGAGUCGCCGGGCUGCAAUGAAGCCUCACGGAGGGUCGCCGGUGCUGCGUUGAAGCGCCGUCGGGGUUGCCGGGGCUGCAAUGGAGCGCCGCCGAGGCCGGAGCUGCACAGCUGGAGCUUCACUGGGCGUCACCGCUGCUGUGUUGAAGCGUCGCCGGGUCGUCGGGGCUGCAAUGUCGCUUCGCUGGGCUGUCAUUCAAGCUUUGCCGGUGCGGGUGCUACGGGACGGCAAGCUGGUGCCCUGGCCGGAGCUACGCGCGAGCAUGCGCUGGGAGCCGGAGCUGUUGCGGAAAGAAUGAACAGGUGGGGCGAAUGGCUCGGGCAGGAGACAUGGCUCACGGCGGCGGCGUCUCUCCUCGGGAGGAGCUCGAGCGUUGAGGUCGGGGUGUGCGCUGCCCCUAGGACGGAGUCCACCGAUCCGUGCUGGUCAUGGUCCACCACCACCACGCCUUCAAUCCGACCUCCACAACUUCAGCAAGCAGGAGCAUCGCAAUGGUUGCGGAUGAACUUGAGUGACGAGGUUGAUUUGGAAGAUCAUGUCUCCAGACAGGAUAAAAUCAGUGCUGCUAAUGCACACCUUUUCUGCCUCCUCCUGAAGCUGGCACGCCUAUUAUCCGCAAAAAUCGGUAAUGUUAUCCUGCCCAAGGACUUCGAGAAGGUAAUAUCCCUGUAUCUUGGUGCUCCUGUAGUUUGCACAUUCAGUCUCAUUAGUGUUGUUAAGCUACUUGCCUGCAAAAAGCGUCAUGGGAGUUGCUUCCCAGCGAGAGAGAAGAGUUCAAAAAGGGAGAGAGCAAAGAAGAAGGACAAGGAGAGGGCAGUGGUGUCGUGUGGAGACUGGCCGAAUGUACCUUUCUGUUUGAUCGUAGGAUCACUGCACAACAGGCUUUGGAGCAGGCUCCGAUUCAUAGAGAACUCCCCAACAACCUCAUCUUUUGAGGAUGUUAGAUGGAUAUUGAAUCCAAUUUUUCAGAGAAGAAAGAACUCUAGAGGAUAA